rnacentral:misc_RNA from 1 species
CAUAUCACCGUCACAGUAGAAGGGCCCAAGUAGAAGCGGCGCACUGGAAAAUACGUUAGCCAACAGGAAGAAUCGAAAUAACAAAACAUCAACAGAAAACAGAAAGCGACAACAGCAUAGAACGCCGCCGCUAGCCACACACACACACACACACACACCUCCUAUGUAUCACCAACACCUCUCGUGCGGCACAACGCAACAAAGCACGCACACCCAUUUCUCACGCAACCCGCUUUAGGAGCCGAGUUGCUCCAUACGUACGUGGUUGCGUAUUUCGCUCGUGCCGCGUGACGGGAACCUCUUUAAACUCUCCAUUUCCUUUGGCCCAAGGACACCAACGCUUACACAUUAAGUGCGCAGAGAGAGAGAGACAAAACCACAUACACUCGCACCUACGUUGUGCGUGGCUGUCAAGUGUGCCUCUCGCCCGCCCCGUGCCUCCGUUGCUCUUGGGUGUCUUUGUCUUCGUCGUCUUCUGGAUUUCUGUUUUCUUGCUGUUGUUCUUUCACUCCACGCCCGCCCACUUUUCCCGUGGGUCGACUUGUGCACGCAUUUUUGUUUUCGGGCGGAGACCCGGAGGUCUUUGUGUGUGUGUGUGUGUGCCUGCGGGCGUUUCUGUCUGUGCAGGGUGCGCGUGGGCAUAUACGAUCUGCUGGCCCCCGCCCACCAUACACACCUCUCCCGCUUUCCCUUUAUCAUUUCAAACCCCUCAAAAAGAACAACAAAAAGAGGGCGCUAUCAUUUCUGUCUUCUUGUUCCCUGUUCUCUGGUUUGCACGUGUCGCUUUUUUUUAGCGCGCAUAUGUGCGUGCUGAAUCCCUGUCCCUUUUUGUGUUCUUGCUGUUCUUGUCGACGGUCCCUGGACCGUCUUCUACUUUACGCGCCUCUCCCUCUCCCCCGCGUUUCCGAAACGCUUCCUCCCUUUUUCAGUGUUCGCCCGAUACGAAGGACUUUUUUCUCCUCCGCACUCCUCAUUUCUCUUUCCCUGAGACGUGACUUCCUUUUUUUCCUUGUUGCUUCGCUCAUUGUGCGCGCCUCAUUUUCUUCCUUUCGCGUACCUUCGGCUUCUCUCUCUUGCUUUUCUUCCGUCUUCGCUUCUAUUAUCAUUAUUACUGUUCGUUCUUCUGUUUUUCUGGGGAUUUCCACUCAUUACCCCCUCGCACUCUUCUUUCUUUCGCUACGGCCCUCUCCCCUCUCCCCUAGCCUCACCCAUACGGCCUCUCAAAAGACACACCGUCCUUUCUUCUUCUUCACUAACCGUCCUCUUCAUUUUUUUUUUCGUUAAUCGCUUGCUCUCCUUUUUCACCUUUUGUCCCUCGCAAUUUUCGUCCCUCUGCGAUAUUCUGCUCUGCUGUGCUUUUUUUUUGUUUUCGCGCUGUUUAUAUGCACAUAUAUCUUCCUUUCUUACCCCCACACCCCCUUUCCAAGGCGGUGCAGCCUUGGAGACGUGUGUAGAGAACGAAAACAAAUAACUCUCCUGUCCCUCUCCCCCCUUUCUCUCUGUCUCUGCCUGGUAUUGUCCAUCUCUCUCUCUCUCCCUCUCCCUCUCCCUCUCCCUCUCCCUCUCUACGAAAUCCAGUCCUUUGAUUGAUGCCGGUGUUUGUCAAGAGAAAUAUACUUUCCUCUCGUUCCCCCCCCCUGAGCUCGCCUUGCCGCCGUGAUUUCGUGACCCCUUUGUAUUAUUAUUUCUUUUUAUUGGGAGGCCCUCGCCGCGCCUCUCCCCUCCCCGCUGAAGCUGGCGGUGUGUUGACACUCGUAUCUCGUCGUCCGGUUUUCGCUCUCCCUCCCUUCCCCCUUACGUGCUCCGCAUUACAUUUCGAAGGAGGGAUCGGCGGUGCUCCUGUUGUUCGGCCUUGUGUGUGUGUGUCUUUCGUGUUUGAUUUCUUCCUCUCUUCUUCGACCAGGAACGACUCCCACUCACUAUCCCCACUACCACGCGUCCACCUCACUUCCCCACCCCUCCUUCUUUUCUUUACCUCUGUCCUCGACGCAUCAUCAUCAUCGCCCAGCGUGACGCCGACAGACACCACGCCGCACGCAAAAAAAAAACGCACACGUUACCUCCUUUCUACCCCUCUUUGGCCCACAACCGCGCACACAGCAAGGCCUCGAGCGGUCUUACGCGAGGCAGAGAGUGAAAGAGCCCAGCAAAAAAAAAAGAAACGGCGAUAAAGAGAGGGCGCAGGACAGACAACAAAGGACGCCGAGGAACAAAACACAACUGGCAAGCGCAAAAAAAAAGAAACACGGAAGGAAGAGGGCAAGCAACGGAAAGGGGCAAGGCAACACAGAACCUCGGUAAAGGAAGUAUACAGCCCUUCUUUUUGCUGCUCGUCGGUUUCGUGGUUUGCUUCCAUCUCGUCGCUCCUUUUUUGUCUUCUUUUCGGUUCCGUUUUUCUCUUCUUUCGUGUCUAGCUCCUCUUCUUCGCUCUGCUCCUAUCCUCUACCCUGGCGUCCUUUCUGUCGUGCUGCUGCUGCUGCCCCUCUCGAUCUCCUCUGUGUGUGCGCUUGACGUUAUCCAGGUUGAAGGUGUGCAUAUUUGUGUGUGUUGGGGGGCUUAUGCUGACCUGCUGAUUCUUCCUGUGUCUGCCACCCCCCCCCCGACAUCCACCCACCUGCACCUCUACCUCCACUUCCGUCUUGCAAUUAUUAUUAUUUCUUCGAUUGUGCAACCUGUCCUCUUCGUUUCUCCCACGCGUUCCUCACGUUUCUACGUCUUUGUAUGCGGUGUGUGUAUAUCUUUUUCUCUCUCGUUUCCUCGUGAGCUCCCUCCUACCCUCUUCUACAAGCGCUCGCGUGUGCGUGUCUAUCUUUGGGCGCUUCCCUACGGGAACACGUGACGCACGAGCCCGUGUGCAGUGUUGAGCGUCAGUGCUAUCGUGCGUCCAUCGCCCCUUCCCCCCUCCACUCCCCUCCUCCCCUUCCCCUUCCCCACAGUGUGACGUUGAUCUUUCCACUGCUCCUUUCCGUUGUUGCCUGCUUUUCUGUUUUCCAACCCUGCCUCUGGUGAUUAUACUGCCACUGCUACGACUACCACCACCAUCUACCACGCCCUCCAGUAACGCUCCAGCUCCGUCUCUCGCUCGCUGUAGCGCACGGGUGUUACUUGUUUGUGCGUUUUGGGGUAGCUCAUCAUUCACUUGCAAAGGUGAACAGUGGCUUCUCUCUCGUUCUUCUUCCUUUCUCUUCCCUCUUCCCUCCCCACCUCCUUGACACUCUCAUUUUUUUUUGCGGCCUUUCACCACCUUUGCCCUUGGUUACUGCUAAUUGACAGCUCUUCUAAUAUUGCCCCUCAUUUUUCUCUCUCUCCAUUUGUGUCCGUGUGUGUGUGUGUACCCGCGCGUGUGAGUCUCGGUUGGUGCGCAACGGCUACAUAUUUGCGGCUGCUCCACCGCUCUAACCGCCUCCCCCCUCCCCUGCUACCCCGCAUAACAUCGCCACAAACACUUUUGCAUCUCUUCUUGAUUGCUUCUCUAGGUCUUCUCAACGUUUUUCGUUAACCACGUUAGUGUUCAUCCGCUUGGCUGUGUUUCACCUUGCUUUCUCGUGUGUGUCCUUGGCAGUGCUGGCACGGACUGCUGGUGUCGUUGUGGUGCUGUCUCAUCGUUUUUUUUUUUGAAGCACUGUUGUCGGCUCCCCGGUUCUUGCCAUCCUGCUCUCUCUCCCCUUUUUUCUCUGGCUGUUGAGCAGGUCUGCUGCUCUUCUGUCUUUGUUUUGUGUGUGUGUGUGUGUGUGCCACUGCGAUAACCUCUUGUCAUUGUCUUCCUUUUUGUGGUUUGCAUUCGGAAUCGGUGAAGGGGCACACGUGCGAGGGUGUGGGAGGCCUGUUCCCCCCCCCUUUUUUUUUCUUCAUUCACUAUCCUCCCCUGUGCGUUUCAUGCACUGAUGCUGCCAUCUAGUGCGCCGCCCUGGGGUCCAGGGCCACAUGACCCGGCUCCAUACUCCACGAUCGCCGCGCACAACUGCACCGCCGAGUGCGUCGAUGGUCCCACAUCAGGUAGUGCUACGCACAAUCGGAGCACCUCACCACGCGGACAGCCUGCCGGAGGUGACACGGCAUCUCCAACGCCUGCUUCCGUGGAGGUGCUAGGGCGAAAGACUCAGCAUCGCCGGUGUAGCACUAGCCCACCUCUGAAGCCACUCAUGAAAGAGGCAGUUCUCGCUCGCGCACUCGAGAAACCGCGGUGCACGCUGGCUAGUGCAGCGAUGGAGAGCACCGGCGACCCGCCACAUCCCUCCAAGGACAGCGAUGCUGAGACUUCGGCAUGCAUUCGCGCAACUUGCACAGGGUCCCGAACACGAGUGGAUCAUGCGCCGCCGCUGUCGUUGUCCGCUACCGUUUCCUCUGUGCAGCAGCACCUCGGCAUGAUACCGCAAGUGGCCAGCAGCAACUCCGCCUCUUAUCAGGCGAGCGCCAGCGCGCCAUCAACACCAAGCAAUCGUAAGGAGGCAUCGAAGAUGCAGCGACGCUCCUCUUCGGCCUUCAUGAGUCGACUGCCUUCCGACACCCGCCUGCGAACGUCGCUGUUGGCCGCCUUUGGUGUGCAGCAUGCCGAGACACAUGGGCGCUGUGACGCACCGUCUCAUGCGCCGCUUCCGGUCCGCGGCUCGUUGUCAAUGACGAACUCCACGGACGUGACGCCCGUUGCAUCUGACACCCACUUUCGCAGGAGCGUCAACGAAGGAUGCAGCACCGUCGAGUCUCACUGCACCGCCACCGCCGCUGCGUCGUGCGUUGUCGUGCGUGCGCCUUCUGGCGCAUUUCGCGCGCUGCCUCACCCUAGCAUAUGGCUCAACACCAGUCUCGCAGGUAUCGGCGGAGUGCCGUCAUUCAACUCUUCCACUCCGUCCACCAAUGCGUCUGUUCUGAAGGAUCGCCACAGUAGCGGUACAGGCACGUGCGAGGUGCCGAGUGAGUCGAGCUUGCUGCCACCAUUCCGCACGAGCUCGCUCGACCGCGACGGCGUCGGCGCGGAAGACUGCGGCAGCGAAGCGUCAGGCACGGCGUCCACCUCCGCCACAGUUGAGGUCCUUCACAGCGGGGACGCUAACCCCGUCACCGGAGACCGGUGUAGCCGCCUGCCAAGUGGGAGAAGCAUCAACACCUCUGUCAGUGGUGAAGUCGGCGGUUUCGCACCCGAUGCAAGCGGCACCUCAACAGCCCACCAUACCUGCGCGGAAAGCAACAGCAGCGCCGGCGGCGGCGCUGAACUCCAAGGGGCGGGGUGCUCGUUUGGAUGGCGCAUGUUCUCUUCGCUCACGUCCCAGCGCGGCGGCGGUGGCGGCGGCGCGCCUGCGCCGUCCCUGGGCAUAUUUCAAAGCGGCCUCUAUCUUUCCAUGGACGAAGGCGACGUGUCGCCCGCGCCGGCUCUAGAGGUGCCGAUGACGCCGCAGAGCUUUUCAACGAUGCUGCUGGCGCGGGAGAGCAGCGAGGGGGCGCAGCAUCCCGUUCGCGCCGGCAGCGCCACUUCGGCGACGACGACAAACGGUGCACGAUCCUCCUCUCUUGCUGUGCAGGAGGGCAAUGACACGAUGCUGAGGCAGUCCUCACAACAGGUGCCGAUCGUCUCGCAACUGGCGGAGGAUGCCUGGAGCGGAGGCGGGGUCGCCGCAAACGGGAUUGAGGACUGGUGUGUCGACGGUGGCAGUCGCGAUAGCCGUGAGGCACGUACAACGAGCACGACUCACACCUCCGGGGUUGGAUCGCACCCCUGCCUGGUCCCCGGCAGCGGAAGCGGCAGGUGCGUCAUAGGUGGAUGCUGCGCGACCCCACUCAGUAGCUUUCAACUCCUCGGUGGCAGCAGUAAGCAGGAGAUGCCUACAAGCGCCCUCGACACGGAUGAGAUCCCCUCCACCCCGACGGACAUCAGCGCUUUACCACACCCGCCGCCGCCGCCGCUCUCGGCGCGCCGCCGGCGCCAACGACGGGCUUGUCAGCACUGCGACGGCGGCAACGCCGUCAGCAGCAACUCCCGCGUCGAUUUGGAGACGGGGGUGAUUGAGACGGACACGCUGGAGCGUGCUCGGGCGGUAUCGAAAGACGGCUCGAGGGCGUACGAGAUUGUGAACGGGAAGUACGUCAUGUACGACUACGAGCUUGGCAGAGGGUCCUACGCCACAGUGCGGCUUUGCUACAACUUGGCGGAUGGCCAUUUCUACGCGGUGAAGGUUCUGGAUCGUGUUCGACUGAAGCGUCGCCAGCUCGGCUCAGAGGCCGGCCUGUGCAAGAUCGAUCAAGAGAUCGCGAUGAUGAAGCAGGUGCAGCACAAGAACAUCAUCGCGCUCCACGAGGUUAUUCGUGACCCCAGCAUGCGCUACGUCUACCUUGUGCUGGAGCUGGCGGAGUCCAGGGAGGUGCUGUCGAUGCGGGACAACGGUGACGUGCUACCGCGCGGCGACGACGACGGUGCCGCAACGGCGUACCCUGAGGCUGCUGCGCGUGAAAUGGUGAAGGGGCUACUGCAAGCACUCAUGUACAUCCACUACCUCGGAGUUGCGCACCGCGAUAUCAAGCCCUCUAACGUGCUGCGUACGGCGGACGGUACAGUGAAGCUGUGCGACUUUGGUGUCUCGGUUCUAGUCGGCGACGCGCCGAUGCAACUGAGUCGCGAAGGCAGCGUGGCUUUCUUGGCACCGGAGCUGCUCCUGUCGAGCGAGGUGGAAGUGUCACGAUUUUUGACGCCGGACGACUCAUCUCUGGGCUCAACGCGUAACAAGAGUGCAACGCACAUGCUCGCCGACUCCGCGCUGGCCACCGCCACCAGGAACGCGCGCACGACUGUGACGUCCACCACAACGGCCACUAGUGCAACUGAACUGGCGAGCACCGGCGGGCCGGCUUCGCCCAAGGAGGAGGGCGCCAAGUGGACCCAGCGCCUCAUGUCCUCGUUUGCAGGUGCCGCCUUACAGCCGAACGCGCGCGCGGCAGCGUCACGGGCCCCGGGGCGAGAGAUUGCGAGCCCCGGUGGCGGCGCGCCGAGUGCCAUCCCUCCAUGGCCGUCGUCAGCAUCUCUGCCGAAGCGCGGCGGUGGCGGCGGCGCCGCCCGCAGAGCCUCCUUUCGCACCCUUUCUCUCUCGCCUUGCGGGGCUGCAGCACGCGAGUGUGCUGCGGCGAUCGCGACAGCUGCUGCUAGUCCUUGUGCCGGUGGUGCCGCGGCGGUGACACCACCGACAGGCGCGUAUUCGCCCUCCACCCCUGCAGCGCAGCCGUUCAGUGAUCUGUCGAAAUCCGCUGGCAACGCGCCGGUAGACCUGCUCAAGGCGGACGUGUUUGCGUUAGGUGUGACCGUAUACACGCUGCUCCUCGGCCACCUGCCUUGGCGUGCGUCGAGUGCAGUGUCGCAGCGCGCGGCCAUACUCGCCGAGCCCGAUCCUUUUUUGCGCCUCUACAAGGCAGCUUACGGCGAUGCCUAUGUGGGGCCGCCACAAGUGCGGGAAGCGUGUAUGCCGCGUUGUGACGUGCUCGGCAGCGACGCGAUCCCGGCUUCCUCGCACGCUAGCACGUCGGCGAGCGGCAAGGACGGUCGCGGUGCCAGCUAUGGAACGGCAAACGCCGAGCUAAGUGACGGGCAGUGGGCGAUUGCCGCCGAGAAGGACGAUGUAGUGACGCCGGCGCCAGUGACUGCCCUCCCCUGCAAGUGGCGACACUUGAGCAACACGGGGACGACCCCGGACGAGUGCACAUCGGAGCAGGAGAAGUGCACGCCCACGGCAGCGAAGCUGACUGCCGCGCCUCAGCCUCAUCGCAAUGCCCCCACUCGGAGCGACCGCAACUCGGCCCAGCCCGUCGGUGAACGCAGUACCGCCGCCGCCGCGUUGCCGCGUCCCGCAACUCAGCUCUUGGCGAAGAAAGCGACCACAUCCGAAUCUCGCGCCCCAAAGGACCUCGCCGAGUCGCCAAGCGAUGACCACAACCCGAGGGCGCCUUUCGAAGCACCCCCGCCACCCAUGCCACCGCAGCAAGAGCGGCACCUUCAUCGUUUUCAAUGGAGACCUUUCAUGGAUGUCGUCCUCGGCUCCGCUCCCAUCAAAACAGCCACCGCAGCAGGCACGGCGAUCACGCAGCAAGCUCAGGUGACCGUCAGGCAUCGCCGCGGCGGUGGUGGCGAACUUGUGGACGGGGACUUGCGGCAAACGAACGCCACGACAACAUGCAUACGAUCGCGCGCUCCCGCCGUUAAGAUGCUCCUCUCCAGAGCCGCGACGCAGCCGCGGUUCGGGUCUGUGGUGCAAGUUCCGCACUCGCUUGCGAUCUGUGGAGACGAGCGCGCGACGUGGGAGGCGCAGGGGGCGGCGAUGAGUGGCCCAGCAGUUGCGCCACCGCUUCGACCGCGCGGACCGACGACGACGCCGGAUCAGCUGUAUCCGUAUCGUGGCAUUCUCGACGUCGACGAUGAUGACUGGAUGAAGGCUGAUGAGUCCGACGUGGUACAAGGCAUGAAGGAGAGCGCGAUAAAUGCGGAGCAGUGGGUGCCGGGCUCGUCUAGCGACCUCCUGCGAACUGUCCCGUCUAGCGCCGUCACAGGCACGCGCAGUAACGACAGCGAGGCUGAUAGCGCGUCUGACUGCGACAGCAGCACAACGACUGUACCCUGCAGCGCUGCUAAAUCGACCGCGUCUUCGCUGCCCAGCGACGACGACGAGGACCUGGAGUCGUGCGAGAGCAUCUACGAGCGGCUCUUUGAGAUGGAACAGCCGUGCCGCGCGUACACGGUAGUGGAGCACAUGCCUCUGCCCACAAUGUCAGGCACCUCUCGCGAGAUCAGUGGCGAAGCCGUCGACUUUGUGCGGUCGUGCCUCUGCCUGGAUCCCGCUGAACGUCGCACGGUGUUCGAACUGUUCCGCCAUCCCUGGAUUCGCGGCGGAGAGGGGGCGAUGCUGGCGGAGGCUGGCACCUCCGCGGGGUCUCCAUGAUGUUCGCCGUCUGCGGCCGAGAAAGGCGCCGAUGUGAAAUUAUCGUCCGGCUCUUGAAUGGACGCAGUGAGCACAAAUGACGAAGCAUAAAGUUGCAUGAAAGGCAGCAGAGGACCCCGUUACCGGCAGCCUGGGCUACCUCGGUACGCGGCGGCCGUGAGCGGGUGAUGGGUCACCUUCCGCAAUAUUGAGAAAGUGGCGGCGCCGCUUGUGGAAGACAUCGACCGUGCGCCACGUCGCGUCAGCGGCAUUCAUUAGGCAUGGCACGGUGAUCCGCAGCGUCGACUUGGAGCGGCGCACCCUUGACGACGUCCUAUCUCCAACAACAACCCUUGUCGUUGCUUGCGCUGCGUCGUCGCUGCAG